GUAGUCAUGGCCGAGUGGUUAAGGCCAUAGACUAGAAAUCUGUUGGGGUCUCACCGCGCAUGUUCGAACCCUGCCGACUACG